AGCGAACGCUGGCGGCAGGCCUAACACAUGCAAGUCGAACGAACCUUUCGGGGUUAGUGGCGGACGGGUGAGUAACACGUGGGAACGUGCCUUUAGGUUCGGAAUAACUCAGGGAAACUUGUGCUAAUACCGAAUGUGCCCUUCGGGGGAAAGAUUUAUCGCCUUUGGAGCGGCCCGCGUCUGAUUAGCUAGUUGGUUGAGGUAAUGGCACACCACGGCGACGAUCAGUAGCUGGUCUGAGAGGAUGAUCAGCCACAUUGGGACUGAGACACGGCCCAAACUCCUACGGGAGGCAGCAGUGGGGAAUCUUGCGCAAUGGGCGAAAGCCUGACGCAGCCAUGCCGCGUGAAUGAUGAAGGUCUUAGGAUUGUAAAAUUCUUUCACCGGGGACGAUAAUGACGGUACCCGGAGAAGAAGCCCCGGCUAACUUCGUG
rnacentral:rRNA from 1 species